UGCGCCCAAGAGAAGAGGUGAAAGAAGAGCUAAGAUGGGAGAUGAGGAUCUAACGCAAGCUCUACUUGGGCACCACUUGAGAAUACACGGUUGAUGUAGCUGCUACCCAGACCAGCUAAACCACCUAUGAUCAGGAGACCCCAGCAAUGAAGGGAGAUCAGGCGAAGAGCAAAAUGGACCAGGAUUCAGCUAAUCCAGCCUGAUGGAGUCACCUCAGCCUCACCUGCAAAAGAAAUGCACCCAAGAACUUCUGGU